rnacentral:misc_RNA from 1 species
GAAAUGCGAUAAGUAGUGUGAAUUGCAGAAUUCAGUGAAUCAUCAAUCUUUGAACGCACAUUGCGCCCUUUGGUAUUCCAAAGGGCAUGCCUGUUCGAGCGUCAUUUGUACCCUCAAGCUUUGCUUGGUGUUGGGCGUCUUGUCUCUAGCUUUGCUGGAGACUCGCCUUAAAGUAAUUGGCAGCCGGCCUACUGGUUUCGGAGCGCAGCACAAGUCGCACUCUCUAUCAGCAAAGGUCUAGCAUCCAUUAAGCCUUUUUUCAACUUUUGACCUCGGAUCAGGUAGGGAUACCCGCUGAACUUAAGC